AACGAACGCUGGCGGCAUGCCUAACACAUGCAAGUCGAACGAGACCUUCGGGUCUAGUGGCGCACGGGUGCGUAACGCGUGGGAAUCUGCCCUUGGGUUCGGAAUAACAGCUGGAAACGACUGCUAAUACCGGAUGAUGACGUAAGUCCAAAGAUUUAUCGCCCAAGGAUGAGCCCGCGUAGGAUUAGCUAGUUGGUGAGGUAAAGGCUCACCAAGGCGACGAUCCUUAGCUGGUCUGAGAGGAUGAUCAGCCACACUGGGACUGAGACACGGCCCAGACUCCUACGGGAGGCAGCAGUGGGGAAUAUUGGACAAUGGGCGAAAGCCUGAUCCAGCAAUGCCGCGUGAGUGAUGAAGGCCUUAGGGUUGUAAAGCUCUUUUACCCGGGAUGAUAAUGACAGUACCGGGAGAAUAAGCUCCGGCUAACUCCGUG
rnacentral:rRNA from 1 species